UUUAUGGAGAGUUUGAUCCUGGCUCAGGAUGAACGCUGGCGGCGUGCCUAAUACAUGCAAGUCGAGCGAACGGACGAGAAGCUUGCUUCUCUGAUGUUAGCGGCGGACGGGUGAGUAACACGUGGAUAACCUACCUAUAAGACUGGGAUAACUUCGGGAAACCGGAGCUAAUACCGGAUAAUAUUUUGAACCGCAUGGUUCAAAAGUGAAAGACGGUCUUGCUGUCACUUAUAGAUGGAUCCGCGCUGCAUUAGCUAGUUGGUAAGGUAACGGCUUACCAAGGCAACGAUGCAUAGCCGACCUGAGAGGGUGAUCGGCCACACUGGAACUGAGACACGGUCCAGACUCCUACGGGAGGCAGCAGUAGGGAAUCUUCCGCAAUGGGCGAAAGCCUGACGGAGCAACGCCGCGUGAGUGAUGAAGGUCUUCGGAUCGUAAAACUCUGUUAUUAGGGAAGAACAUAUGUGUAAGUAACUGUGCACAUCUUGACGGUACCUAAUCAGAAAGCCACGGCUAACUACGUGCCAGCAGCCGCGGUAAUACGUAGGUGGCAAGCGUUAUCCGGAAUUAUUGGGCGUAAAGCGCGCGUAGGCGGUUUUUUAAGUCUGAUGUGAAAGCCCACGGCUCAACCGUGGAGGGUCAUUGGAAACUGGAAAACUUGAGUGCAGAAGAGGAAAGUGGAAUUCCAUGUGUAGCGGUGAAAUGCGCAGAGAUAUGGAGGAACACCAGUGGCGAAGGCGACUUUCUGGUCUGUAACUGACGCUGAUGUGCGAAAGCGUGGGGAUCAAACAGGAUUAGAUACCCUGGUAGUCCACGCCGUAAACGAUGAGUGCUAAGUGUUAGGGGGUUUCCGCCCCUUAGUGCUGCAGCUAACGCAUUAAGCACUCCGCCUGGGGAGUACGACCGCAAGGUUGAAACUCAAAGGAAUUGACGGGGACCCGCACAAGCGGUGGAGCAUGUGGUUUAAUUCGAAGCAACGCGAAGAACCUUACCAAAUCUUGACAUCCUUUGACAACUCUAGAGAUAGAGCCUUCCCCUUCGGGGGACAAAGUGACAGGUGGUGCAUGGUUGUCGUCAGCUCGUGUCGUGAGAUGUUGGGUUAAGUCCCGCAACGAGCGCAACCCUUAAGCUUAGUUGCCAUCAUUAAGUUGGGCACUCUAAGUUGACUGCCGGUGACAAACCGGAGGAAGGUGGGGAUGACGUCAAAUCAUCA
rnacentral:rRNA from 1 species